rnacentral:rRNA from 1 species
UGAUGACGAGACGCUAAGGCGUUGAAGCAGUGUAUGUCAGACUUCCAAGAAAAGCUCGCAAUGUCACAAAUAAAAAUGCCUGUACCAUAACCGACACAGGUGGGUAGGUAGAGUAUACUAAGGGGCGCGAGAUAACUCUCUCUAAGGAACUCGGCAAAAUGACUCCGUAACUUCGGGAGAAGGAGUGCCUUAUUUAUAAGGUUGCAAUAACAAGAUCCAAGCAACUGUUUAUCAAAAACACAGGUCUCCGCUAAGUCGUAAGACGAUGUAUGGGGGCUGACGCCUGCCCAGUGCCAGAAGGUUAAAGAAGUUGGUUAGUGUAUGCGAAGCUGAUGACUGAAGCCCUGGUGAACGGCGGCCGUAACUAUAACGGUCCUAAGGUAGCGAAAUUCCUUGUCGGGUAAGUUCCGACCCGCACGAAAGGCGUAAUGAUUUGGAUACUGUCUCGGAGAGAGGCUCGGUGAAAUAGACUUGUCUGUGAAGAUGCGGACUACCUGCACCAGGACAGAAAGACCCUAUGAAGCUUUACUGUAACUUGAAAUUGGAAUUGGACUUUGCUUGCGCAGUAUAGGUGGGAAGCGUUGAAAAUAUUCUUGCGGGAGUAUUGGAGCUAUCAGUGAGAUACCACUCUUGUAAUGUUAGAUUUCUAACUUUGAACCAUAAUCUGGUCAAAGAACAGUUUCAGGUGGGCAGUUUGACUGGGGCGGUCGCCUCCCAAAUGGUAAUGGAGGCGUACAAAGGUUUCCUCUGAACGGAUAGAAAUCGUAUCUAGAGUGUAAAGGCAUAAGGAAGCUUGACUGUGAGACCUACAAGUCGAGCAGGGACGAAAGUCGGUCUUAGUGAUCUGACGGUACUGAGUGGAAAGGCCGUCACUCAACGGAUAAAAGUUACUCUAGGAUAACAGGCUGAUCUCCCCCAAGAGUUCACAUCGACGGGGAGGUUUGGCACCUCGAUGUCGGCUCAUCGCAUCCUGGGGCGGUAGUACGUCCCAAGGGUUGGGCUGUUCGCCCAUGAAAGCGGUACGCGAGCUGGGUUCAGAACGUCGUGAGACAGUUCGGUCCAUAUCCGGUGUAGGCGCUAGAAUAUUGAGAGGAGCCUUCUUUAGUACGAGAGGACCGAGAAGGACACACCGCUGGUGUACCAGUUAUCGUGCCAACGGUAAACGCUGGGUAGCUAUGUGUGGAGUGGAUAACCGCUGAAAGCAUCUAAGUGGGAAGCCCACCUCGAGAUGAGUAUUC